rnacentral:tmRNA from 1 species
GGGGGCGAUCUGGAUUCGACGGGGAUAGGUUGAGCUUAAAUUGCAAGUCGAGUAUCAGAACUCGUAAAUAACUGAGCUAAACAUAAACGCUAAUAAUAGUGAAUUAGCAUUAGCAGCUUAAAUUAAGUUGCUACGUCUGCGAAAAGUUUCCUGUGCUUUUCGACAGGCGCCGGUUAGCAGGAUACUCCAGUGUGAUUUGUCUGCAGUAAUACUGGAGGAAAUUUAAUGCGGGCUGGCUUUUUUGAUCGUGUCCAUACGAGCAUAAAAAGUGAGAUUUAAAAUAUGGAACAAGCUUGUAGAUAUUUAAGUGACAAUGUCUUCGGACGCGGGUUCGAUUCCCGCCGCCUCCACCA